UUCAAGCGGUAGGAGAGCGUCGUAACCGGGCUGAAGUCGUACCGUAAGGAGCGGUGGACUGGUUACGAGUGAGAAUGUUGGCAUCAGUAGCGAGAUGUGGGUGAGAAUCCCACAGGCCGAAAACCUAAGGUUUCCUCAGGAAGGUUCGUCCGCUGAGGGUUAGUCGGGACCUAAGCCGAGGCCGAAAGGCGUAGGUGAUGGACAACUGGUUGAUAUUCCAGUACCACUACCAUCGUUAUUAUCGAUGGCGUGACGCAGGAGGAUAGUGUGUGCUAGCUAUUGGAUGCUAGUCUAAGCGUUUAGGCAGUGAGAGUAGGCAAAUCCGCUCUCAUAAUGCU
rnacentral:rRNA from 1 species